AUACGUAGGGGGCGAGCGUUGUCCGGAAUGAUUGGGCGUAAAGGGCGCGUAGGCGGCCUGUUAAGUCUGGAGUGAAAGUCCUGUGUUCAAGAUGGGAAUUGCUUUGGAUACUGAUGGGCUUGAGUGCAGGAGAGGUUAUCGGAAUUCCCGGUGUAGCGGUGAAAUGCGUAGAGAUCGGGAGGAACACCAGUGGCGAAGGCGGGUAACUGGACUGCAACUGACGCUGAGGCGCGAAAGUGUGGGGAGCAAACAGGAUUAGAUACCCUGGUAGUCCACACUGUAAACGAUGAAUGCUAGGUGUAAGAGGUAUCGACCCCUUUUGUGCCGGAGUUAACACAAUAAGCAUUCCGCCUGGGGAGUACGGCCGCAAGGUUGAAACUCAAAGGAAUUGACGGGG
rnacentral:rRNA from 1 species